rnacentral:rRNA from 1 species
GGGGAGGGCAGGAUACAUACAGGACAAUUGUCUUGUAAUUGGAAUGAUGGUGACGUAAAAUCUCACCAGAGUAACAAUUGGAGGGCAAGUCUGGUGCCAGCAGCCGCGGUAAUUCCAGCUCCAAUAGCGUAUACUAAACUUGUUGCAGCUAAAAAGCUCGUAGUUGAAUUUCUGCGUUGUCCGACUCGGCUACUUGCCUUGUCUGGUUUCGCUUUUGGGGUUUUCCCCUUUUUACUUUGAGAAAAUUAGAGUGUUUCAAGCAGACUUGUGUCUUGAAUACUUCAGCAUGGAAUAAUAAAGUGGGACUUUGGUUCUAUUUUGUUGGUUUGUGAACCUUAGUAAUGGUUAAUAGGAACGGUUGGGGGCAUC